rnacentral:rRNA from 1 species
GGUGUGACUGCGUACCUUUUGUAUAAUGGGUCAGCGACUUAUAUUCUGUAGCAAGGUUAACCGUAUAGGGGAGCCGCAGGGAAACCGAGUCUUAACUGGGCGUUAAGUUGCAGGGUAUAGACCCGAAACCCGGUGAUCUAGCCAUGGGCAGGUUGAAGGUUGGGUAACACUAACUGGAGGACCGAACCGACUAAUGUUGAAAAAUUAGCGGAUGACUUGUGGCUGGGGGUGAAAGGCCAAUCAAACCGGGAGAUAGCUGGUUCUCCCCGAAAGCUAUUUAGGUAGCGCCUCGUGAACUCAUCUUCGGGGGUAGAGCACUGUUUCGGCUAGGGGGUCAUCCCGACUUACCAACCCGAUGCAAACUACGAAUACCGAAGAAUGUUAUCACGGGAGACACACGGCGGGUGCUAACGUCCGUCGUGAAGAGGGAAACAACCCAGACCGCCAGCUAAGGUCCCAAAGUCAUGGUUAAGUGGGAAACGAUGUGGGAAGGCACAGACAGCCAGGAUGUUGGCUUAGAAGCAGCCAUCAUUUAAAGAAAGCGUAAUAGCUCACUGGUCGAGUCGGCCUGCGCGGAAGAUGUAACGGGGCUAAACCAUGCACCGAAGCUGCGGCAGCGACACUAUGUGUUGUUGGGUAGGGGAGCGUUCUGUAAGCCUGCGAAGGUGACCUGUGAGGGUUGCUGGAGGUAUCAGAAGUGCGAAUGCUGACAUAAGUAACGAUAAAGCGGGUGAAAAGCCCGCUCGCCGGAAGACCAAGGGUUCCUGUCCAACGUUAAUCGGGGCAGGGUGAGUCGACCCCUAAGGCGAGGCCGAAAGGCGUAGUCGAUGGGAAACAGGUUAAUAUUCCUGUACUUGGUGUUACUGCGAAGGGGGGACGGAGAAGGCUAUGUUAGCCGGGCGACGGUUGUCCCGGUUUAAGCAUGUAGGCUGGUUAUCCAGGCAAAUCCGGAUAAUCAAGGCUGAGGUGUGAUGACGAGGCACUACGGUGCUGAAGUAACAAAUGCCCUGCUUCCAGGAAAAGCCUCUAAGCAUCAGGUAACAUCAAAUCGUACCCCAAACCGACACAGGUGGUCAGGUAGAGAAUACCAAGGCGCUUGAGAGAACUCGGGUGAAGGAACUAGGCAAAAUGGUGCCGUAACUUCGGGAGAAGGCACGCUGGUGUGUAGGUGAAGCCCCUGCGGGUGGAGCUGAGACCAGUCGAAGAUACCAGCUGGCUGCAACUGUUUAUUAAAAACACAGCACUGUGCAAACACGAAAGU